CUUCCUUGUUUUGGGCUUGUGCCCUCUUUCUUGUUGUUAACAGUUUCCGGAAAGAGAGUGAUCGGGAUGCAAGAUUUUUGAGACUCACUGGUCUGAAACUGCCUUUCCUCUUAAAUUUAGUUAAGUAUUUCCCUGGGCAUGGAAUUCAAAGGUGGUUAUGACUUUUCUUCAGGAUUGUGAAUGUAUUUAUAUCCUCCCAUCUUACGUUGCUAUUGAGAAUUCUGAAGUUCUUCUGAUUCCUGAUUCUUUGUAUGUGUAUUCCUCAUUCCACACCUUCCCCAGAAUGCAUGCAGAAUUUCUUCCUUUCUAUUUUCUUUUCUCUUUUUCUGAAACUCUUAUUAUUGGGAUCUUCUGCCUCUUGGAUUAGGGCUCUAAUUUUCCGACAUUUUCUCUGCUAUUUUUUACUACUUUAUUUUUCUCCUCUACUUUCUGAGAGAUUUCCUCCUCUUGAUCUUCCAAAUCUUGUACUGAAUCUUUUAUUUUUGUUAACAUGUUCUUAAUUUCCAAGAACUCUUUUUUCUUGUCUUCGGAGUUUCAACACUUAUUGUUGUUUUGUGCAUGUAUUAUUUUUUCUUCUCUCUCUGAGGCUAUUUAGGAAAUUUUUUAUUGAAGCUCCUCCCCCCUGCUUCCUUCAAGUUGCUUUUAUCUGCUUUUUUAUUUGCUUUUUCAUGCAAUAAGUUUUUCUCACAUGUCUGGUAACUCUUGGGGAUUACCAAAAACUCAUAGAAAAUUCUGACCAUGUGAGUAACACUUGCCAAUUUUGAGCUUCAUGAUAGAAUGAUCUAGCUGGACCUUUUGCUGCGGGGAAAUCGGAGGUAAGUGUCUUUGGAGACUUCCUCUUGGGAUGGUCAGGUCUCCCAGGUUUCAAGAUUCUUCUAAUUUCCUUCUUGAAUCAGUUGCCUAAUUUAGGAAAUAAAAAUACAGGAUCUCCAGGUAAAUUUGAAGUUCAGAUAAACUUUGUUUUUUUUGAGAGAGUCUCUUUCUGUUGCCAAGGCUGGAGUGCAGUGGCAUGAUUUCCGCUCACUGCAACCUCUGCCUCCCGGGUUCAAGCAAUUCUCCUGCCUCAGCCUCCCGAGUAGCUGGGAUUACAGGUUCAUGCCACCACUCCCAGCUAAUUUUUUAUAUUUUUGGUACAGAUGGGGUUUCCCCAUGUUGGCCAGGCUGGUCUCGAACUCCUGACCUCAAGUGAUCCGCCUGCCUCGGCCUCCCAAAGUGCUGGGAUUACAGGUGGGAGCCACUGCUCCCAGCCCAGA
rnacentral:lncRNA from 1 species